UACGUAGGUGGCAAGCGUUAUCCGGAUUUAUUGGGCGUAAAGGGAACGCAGGCGGUCUUUUAAGUCUGAUGUGAAAGCCUUCGGCUUAACCGGAGUCGUGCAUUGGAAACUGGGAGACUUGAGUGCAGAAGAGGAGAGUGGAACUCCAUGUGUAGCGGUGAAAUGCGUAGAUAUAUGGAAGAACACCAGUGGCGAAAGCGGCUCUCUGGUCUGUAACUGACGCUGAGGUUCGAAAGCGUGGGUAGCAAACAGG
rnacentral:rRNA from 1 species